GACGUAGGUGGCGAACGUUACCCGGAAUUAUUGGGCGUAAAGGGUGCGUAGGUGGCCUGACAAGUUAUCAGUGGUAAAUCGAGGCUCAACCUCGUGGAAACUGGUAAUACUGUCCGGCUCGAGUACAGGAGAGGUUAACGGAACUCUAUGUGGAGCGGUAAAAUGCACAGAUAUAUAGAAGAACAUCAAUAACGGCGAAGGCAGUUAACUAUUCUGUUACUGACACUGAGGCACGAAAGCGUGGGGAGCAAAACGG
rnacentral:rRNA from 1 species